rnacentral:rRNA from 1 species
UUAAGCAUAUCAAUAAGCGGAGGAAAAGAAAAUAACAAUGAUUCCCCUAGUAACUGCGAGUGAAGAGGGACAAGCUCAAAUUUUAAAUCCAUCGGGUUUUACCUGAUCGAGUUGUAAUUUGAAGAAGCGUUUUCUGCGUAUUUGGUCAGCCUAAGUCCUAUUGAAUGAGGCAUCAUGGAGGGUGAUAAUCCCGUCCGGUUGAUCAUUUGCGUUUUACGAUACGCUUUCUAAGAGUCAAGUUGUUUGGGAUUGCAGCUUAAAAUGGGAGGUAAAUUUCUCCUAAGGCUAAAUAACGGCGAGAGACCGAUAGCGAACAAGUACCGUGAGGGAAAGAUGAAAAGAACUUUGAAAAGAGAGUUAAACAGUACGUGAAAUUGUUGAAAGGGAAACGAUUGAAGCCAGUCGUACCUUCGGGUAAUCAGCCUUUCGGGUGCGAUUCUGUGGAGUGUGAGGAGCUUAAACACCUUCAUGUUUUGCAUAUUCGUACUCUUGGGUGUACUUGCCCGUGUGGUUGGUUAACAUCAAUUUUGGUGGUCAUAAAAUGACUGGGGAAAUGUAGCUUCGAUCUUGUAUUGAAGUGUUAUAGCCUUCGGUAGAUGUGAUGAUCGAGAUUGAGGAUUGCAACGGAUACCCUUCGGGGCUACCUGUCUGGUCUCUGAUCGUUGCUCUGGUGCCGAAAGCUUGCUUACGGUUAUCAAAGUCGAUGGUCAAUAGGUUAGAACGGGUUAAAUUCGUUAAGGAUGUUGACGUAAUGGCUUUAAACGACCCGUCUUGAAACACGGACCAAGGAGUCUAACAUAUAUGCGAGUGUUAGGGUGAUUAAACCCUUACGCGUAAUGAAAGUAAUUUUGGUGGGAACACUUUUGUGCACCAUCGACCGAUCAGGAUAUUUUUUGAUAGAUUUGAGUAA